rnacentral:tRNA from 2 species
GGGCCUGUAGCUUAAUGGGAAAGCUUCAACUUGUCAAGUUGGAAGAUGUUGGAUCGAGACCAACCAAGCCCG